UGAGGAAUAUUGGGCAAUGCCCGAAAGGGUGACCCAGCAACGCCGCGUGGAGGAUGAAGGCCGUAAGGUUGUAAACUCCUUUUGAAAAGGACGAAAAUUCUCGAUCGAAUCGAGGCUUGACUGUACUUUUAGAAGAAGCCCCGGCUAACUACGUGCCAGCAGCCGCGGUAAUACGUAGGGGGCAAGCGUUGUCCGGAUUCACUGGGUGUAAAGGGCGCGUAGGCGGGUUUGUUAGUCAGAGGUGAAAUCCUGCAGCUUAACUGUAGAACUGCCUCUGAUACUGCAAAUCUUGAGUUCAGAAGAGAGUAGCGGAAUUCCAGGUGUAGUGGUGAAAUACGUAGAUAUCUGGAAGAACACCAGUGGCGAAGGCGGCUACUUGGUCUGCAACUGACGCUGAGGCGCGAAAGCGUGGGGAUCAAACAGG
rnacentral:rRNA from 1 species